CACGACGGCCCGCGGGCCGUCCCGGACGAGUGGUGGGCGUACCCGGUCAGGCCAAGACGCCCCGCG
rnacentral:ncRNA from 1 species